rnacentral:rRNA from 1 species
UGGGGAAUAUUGCACAAUGGGGGAAACCCUGAUGCAGCGACGCCGCGUGGAGGAAGAAGGUCUUCGGAUUGUAAACUCCUGUUGUUGGGGAAGAUAAUGACGGUACCCAACAAGGAAGUGACGGCUAACUACGUGCCAGCAGCCGCGGUAAAACGUAGGUCACAAGCGUUGUCCGGAAUUACUGGGUGUAAAGGGAGCGCAGGCGGGAAGACAAGUUGGAAGUGAAAUCUAUGGGCUCAACCCAUAAACUGCUUUCAAAACUGUUUUUCUUGAGUAGUGCAGAGGUAGGCGGAAUUCCCGGUGUAGCGGUGGAAUGCGUAGAUAUCGGGAGGAACACCAGUGGCGAAGGCGGCCUACUGGGCACCAACUGACGCUGAGGCUCGAAAGUGUGGGUAGCAAACAGGAUUAGAUACCCUGGUAGUCCACACCGUAAACGAUGAUUACUAGGUGUUGGAGGAUUGACCCCUUCAGUGCCGCAGUUAACACAAUAAGUAAUCCACCUGGAGAGUACGACCGCAAGGUUGAAACUCAAAGGAAUUGACGGGGGCCCGCACAAGCAGUGGAGUAUGUGGUUUAAUUCGACGCAACGCGAAGAACCUUACCAAGUCUUGACAUCCCUUGACAGACAUAGAAAUAUGUAUUCUCUUCGGAGCAAGGAGACAGGUGGUGCAUGGUUGUCGUCAGCUCGUGUCGUGAGAUGUUGGGUUAAGUCCCGCAACGAGCGCAACCCUUAUGGUCAGUUACUACGCAAGAGGACUCUGGCCAGACUGCCGUUGACAAAACGGAGGAAGGUGGGGAUGACGUCAAAUCAUCAUGCCCUUUAUGACUUGGGCUACACACGUACUACAAUGGCGUUAAACAAAGAGAAGCAAGACCGCGAGGUGGAGCAAAACUCAGAAACAACGUCCCAGUUCGGACUGCAGGCUGCAACUCGCCUGCACGAAGUCGGAAUUGCUAGUAAUCGUGGAUCAGCAUGCCACGGUGAAUACGUUCCC